rnacentral:rRNA from 1 species
UCAAGCGAAGAAGGGCGCAGGGCGGAUGCCUUGGCACUGAGAGCCGAUGAAAGACGUGAUAAGCUGCGAUAAGCUUCGGGGAGGAGCAAAUAUCCUUUGAUCCGGAGAUCUCUGAAUGGGGAAACCCGGCUGUAUGGACUACAGUCAUCCAUAAGUGAAUCCAUAGCUUAUGGAAGGGAACCCGGGGAACUGAAACAUCUAAGUACCCGGAGGAAGAGAAAGAAACAUCGAUUCCGUAAGUAGCGGCGAGCGAACGCGGAAGAGCCCAAACCGUGAUGCGUGCAUCGCGGGGUUCGGACUGCAUAAGGGAUUCAGUAACGGCAGGAGAACGGCUUUGGAACAGCCGGCCAGAGAGGGUGAGAGCCCCGUAUCCGAAGCCAGAGCUGACCCGGCAGGAUCCAGAGUACCACGGGACACGGGAAACCCUGUGGGAACGAGCGGAGACCACUCCGUAAGGCUAAAUACUACUCAGUGACCGAUAGCGUAUAGUACUGUGAAGGAAAGGUGAAAAGAACCCCGGGAGGGGAGUGAAAGAGAACCUGAAACCCUGUGUCUACAAGCUGUGGAAGUACUUCUCAGGUACGACCGCGUACUUUUUGUAGAACGGUCCGGCGAGCUGCGGGUACUGGCAAGGUUAAGCACUUCAGGUGCGGAGCCGUAGGGAAACCAAGUCUUAAGAGGGCGUUUUAGUCAGUACGUGCAGGCCCGAAACCGGGUGACCUAUCCAUGUCCAGGUUGAAGCCGCCGUAAAAGGCGAUGGAGGACCGAACCCACAUCCGUUGCGUUGAAAAGGGUGGGGAUGAGGUGUGGAUAGCGGAGAAAUUCCAAUCGAACCCGGAGAUAGCUGGUUCUCCUCGAAAUAGCUUUAGGGCUAGCCUCAUACAAGUCUGCCGGAGGUAGAGCACUGAAUUUCCGCGGGGGCGUCAAAGCCUACCAAAGAAUAUCAAACUCCGAAUGCCGGACAGAUGGUGUAUGGGAGUCAGACUGUACGAGAUAAGUUGGACAGUCAAAAGGGAAAGAGCCCAGACCGCCGGCUAAGGUCCCAAAGUGGGUGUUAAGUGGAAAAGGAUGUGGGAUCUCUAAGACAACCAGGAUGUUGGCUCAGAAGCAGCCAUUCAUUAAAAGAGUGCGUAACAGCUCACUGGUCGAGAGGUCCUGCGCCGAAAAUGUCCGGGGCUGAAACACCACACCGAAGCCGCGGAACCCGUAAGGGUUGGUAGAGGAGCAUUCUUAGGGGAGCGAAGCAUUACCGGAAGGGGAUGUGGACUGCUAAGAAGAGAGAAUGCCGGAAUGAGUAGCGAGAGCAAGGUGAGAAUCCUUGCGGCCGAAUAUCCAAGGUUUCCAGAGUAAAGCUGAUCUGCUCUGGGUAAGUCGGGGCCUAAGGAGAGGCAGAGAUGCGUAUCCGAUGGACAGCAGGUUUAAGAUUCCUGCACCCCUUGUUAUCAGAACUGCGGGGACACGGGAAGGGAAGCAGAGCCGGGAAUGGAAAGCCCGGUGCAAGCGAAGUAGUCGCAGGGUUGGAAAAUCCGCCCUGCAUGAGACGAAGGCGUGAUGCGGAGCGAAAUGAAGUAGUGAAGCUGCGGCCCCUUCCUGUCGAGAAAAGCCGCUAUCGUGUAGCAAGGGCCCGUACCGUAAACCGACACAGGUGGAUGAGGAGAGGAUCCUAAGGCCGGCGGGAGAAGUGUUGUUAAGGAACUCGGCAAAAUGACUCCGUAACUUCGGGAGAAGGAGUGCUGCGCAAGCAGCCGCAGAGAAAUGGCCCAAGCAACUGUUUAGCAAAAACACAGGUCUAUGCGAAACCGGAAGGUGAGGUAUAUGGGCUGACGCCUGCCCGGUGCUGGAAGGUUAAGGGGAGAGCUUAGCGCAAGCGAAGGUUUGAACUUAAGCCCCAGUAAACGGCGGCCGUAACUAUAACGGUCCUAAGGUAGCGAAAUUCCUUGUCGGGUAAGUUCCGACCCGCACGAAAGGCGUAA